CUUGUACUCCCUCCGUCCGAAAAUACUUGUCAUUGAAAUGGGUGUAUCUAGAUGUAUUUUAGUUCUAGACAUCCAUUUUGAUGACAAGUAAUUCCGGACGGAGGGAGUACUUG
rnacentral:pre_miRNA from 1 species